rnacentral:lncRNA from 1 species
UCAAAUCAUCCACUCACCUUGGCCUCCCAAAGUGUUGGGAUUACAGGCCUGAACCACUGCACCCGGCCGACCUAUUCUAUAUUUUCAAGUUAGUAUCACACAGUGACUCCACGUACAUGGAUUUAAUUGAUUAAUUGUAACAUAUGAAUAUCUGGGUUCUGGAAAAAGUUUUCAGAAAGUGUAAAAACACACUAUGGUUUGCUGUCUUCUCCAGACAAACUGAAGAAUAGACCCCAAUCCCCAAACAUUUUCCUGUUAAACAACAUAGCCAAGACAUUCUCUUUCUUCCUAUGUGAUUUUGAAGUGCAGGGCAACCCAAACAAAAGGCAGAAGCAUAAAAAAUGUUAGUUAUUAUUGUAAGGCCUUUAUUUUUUAUGAUAAUUAUACUAACAAGGCCAGAGGUGCUGACACAGUGUGAACAAUUACUAAUAGUAAAAAGAAUAUUUAGAAAAAUUCUGGCUGUACUGAAUGAUCCAAAAUUACAAAGAGUUUAACUUUAAAACUCUUUAAGAUCAAAGACAGAAGAAAGGAAACAGCCAGCUGAGAAAUUAGAACUCAGAUGACAGAAGAGAAAAACAUAUGAUAGAGAGUAGGUAGGAAAAAGGUUCUAAAAGAGGGUAGUGAAAGAAUGAGAAAAAGCUAAUCAAUUAUUGUCAGAAGACAGAGCUAAGACAGGGCCAUUUCAUCUGAUAUGUUAACAAUUGAGGGAUCAACACUGAAGAACAAAUACACUUUUUGGUUAGUAUUCAGUACUUGCAAAAGCAUUAAUAUUGUCAUUCUUAUUAUCUGCUUUCAUCAACUAAAUUGAGAAAACCUUUGCCACACUAAAUUUCCAUAACAUAGACUUGAUCUGUUCCAAGAAAUACCAAGGAAUGGGAAAUAACUUAAAUCUUGAACUACAUGGUGAAUUAUUUUCAAAGAUGGCCACAGUAAUUCUUCCUAUCCCUAUAACUAUACCUCCUGCCAUUUGACUCAGUCAAUCUUUCCACCUAGAGGUGGAGUCUGCCUCCUUCCCCCCUGAAACCAGGAUGACCCUGUGACUUACUUUAAUCAUCCAUCUGAGCUGAGGCCUCAGACAUAUGAAUGAAGGCAUAUUGCCCCCAUUGAUGACUGCACCCCACAGAGCAGACCACAAACCAGCUAAGCCUAGUCUCAACUGCCACAGAAUUAUAAACAAAUAAAGGGCUGUUAUUCAAAAGUUUGUCCAUGAUGACCACAAGCUGACCCCAAGAAUACACCAUGAAGUUUUUUACAUUCCUGGAAAAAAGGAGAAAGAAAAAGCAGAAUGGGGGAUUCUUACGUAUUCAAUAAAUUAUUAUGAGCUUCAUUGACUAGUAAGAUGCAACUGAUUGUAAGAGGCACCAUUACUUUGUAUUCCUUAUAAAGAAAAAACAUUGUCCAGCCAACUAUAACACACUAACAACUAAUUGUAAUACAUAUCCUGAGUUCAACAUAUUAUAAUUUGAAAAAUACGUGCAUCUCAAAUCACUAAAAUACAGUAUUUUGCCAAGUCACUUCAAAUACUCCUUUCUUUCAAUUCCAUAUUCCCUAUACUGAAAGCCUCGUAGUGAGUAUUAUUUGUGAAAUGUUUCUUCUGCAUUCUUGCUUGUCCACAAUUUUACCGCUUUUCUUUUGUUUCUGAACAAGUGGUUUAAAACAAAAGCAGCAGAUAGAAAAUUAAUACUACGCUCUUUUAUGAUGCUGGAUAAGAGAUGGCUACAGUACCUAAAUUAAAAUCAGUAAUAAAAAUUGUCUUUAGCUUUUCUGACUUGAUUCAGUACCUUCAGACUAAAAGCACAGGGACCAUAAGCAGUAAAAUGACCGUUAAAAUAUUUCCAUUAAUAAAAUCAGUAACAUAAUAAUAUAGCAUAAUAAAAUGCAAUUAUAGAAACUACUGACUUCAUUUUCCUUUAGGGAAAAAAAAAAAACAACUGAAAGGCAACCAGAGAUUAAUAGAAGCACAUGCCACUAAAGUUCUCCUUUUUCUUACUUAUAAUCUAAUGAAGCUCAUUUUAACAAAACAAGUCAGUUGUACCCAAAGAAAAAUAGUUAAAUGUUCCAUUAUUUUCACAUGCCAUGUGCUGAGAUUAGUAAACCUAAUCCAUUCCAUGGAUCAUGAAAAUAAAAGCUAUACCAUUACCAGAAAAACAAAAAAACCCACCCUGCAUGGCCCUUUGGGAUAACAUGAAAACACUUUUAUCUAUAUAUCAAGACAUCUGACCCAUCAUGAAAUGAAUUAUUUGUAACAAAUCACUUUCAUUUGAACACCUCUAUUAACUACACCUCUUCCUUAACAAAAAUGACUUUUUAAAUAUAAAAUAGUAAAGCAUGAAUCUAUGUUUUUUAUUUGUUUUUAGAGACAGGGUCUCAUUCUGUCGCCCAGGCUGGUGAGCAGUGAUGCUAUCACAGCUCACUGUAAUCUCCAACUCCUGGGCUCAAGUGAUUCUCCCUCCUUAGCCUCCCAGUAAGUUAGCUACAGGCGCGAGUCACCAUACCAGGGUAAUUUUUUAAUUUUUGUAGAGAUGGUGCCUUGCUAUGUUGCCCAGGCUGGUCUCUAACUCCUGGCCUCUAGCAAUACUCCUGCCUUGUCCUCCCAGAGUGCUAUGGUGUGAACCACCAUGCUUGGCAAUUUUUACUGCUUUAAAUCAGCACUGCCCAAUAGAUAUAUUAGAUGAUGCAGAUAAUGUAACAUUUCCAUCACAGAAAUAAUGGAAAUACAGGAGCCAGCAGUCACAUGAAUUGACUGAACACCUGAAAUGUGGCUAGUUAACUGAAAAACUAAACUUUUAAUUAAUCUUAAGUUUAAAUAGACACACGUGGCUAAUGGCUACUGUAUUGGACAAUACAGUCUUAAAUUAUCAGUGGGAUAAAAUUUCAGAUAAUAUCCUUCAAAUUAUAUAGUUAGGAACUAACUAUCACCUUUAGUGAGAAAGGAAUGACCUACAGUUACUUAUAUGAUAUAAAAAGCACAACGGUAGCUCAAGGGAUCUUAAGUCUUAAUUCUAACUACUGGCAAACUUUACAUAUUUAUUUCUAACUCCCAGGCUUGGAAAUGUCAAAAAUAAAUAUUCUAGGAUUAGGACAAUAUUCCCCCAACAGAACACAAACAUCUGUAAUAGUAUUCAGCACACAGUAGGUGUUCAUUACAUGUUUUUAAUUCUUUUUCCUUUCUCUUCCCUUAAUGUUCGACCCAGACUAGUCUUGAUGAGUUAGACAAGGUUAACUUAGACAUUUAGGACAUUAACACAGCACUUCAUGAUCUAAAUUAGCUGUCGAUGGAGCAGAUGAACAGAUAAAAAGGCAGGACAAGGGGAUAUAAAAUAUUGUAAAGUACAGUAUAUGUAGCCACAGUCCCAGUAAACACUUCCUUUGAACGUAUCAAUCUAAGAAGAAUUAGAAAACAGAAGUAUAUUCACAUCUUUAUACUGUUCAUAUCUUAGAAGUCAAAUAUAAUCCACCUUUAUCUCUCGUGCCAGUUUCAUUCUUUUCAGCCUACACUUUCGAGCGCAUGAUACAUAAAAAAGUAGCAACUGCUAUCUGGUCAAAAUAACACUACAUUCUGAAAACAUACUACCGAUCCAUCAAUCAAGAGAAAAUGGAUGUCUGAUUAGAAAAAGCUAAAAGAACCAGAUCAAUAUCUAUUACAAAACCCUUUAUUUCAAAAUAUACUCACAGAAACAGUAAGAUUUCUCCAGGAAAUAUUGUCUGCUGUUAUAUUAUCUUUCUUCCAUUGUGCUAGAGUUUCAUUGCUGGGGUUUGGAGGUUCAGUACAUACACAUCUGAGAAAUUAGAGUAGGAUACAUUUUUAAGGAUCCUGAAUUUCAUGCUUACAUUUUACUAAAUCUUUAAAAACCAUUAUGCAUAUUUCUGAAUAUAGAAAGUUGAUUUUAAAGCCUACACAGAAGGAUAAAUAUGCAAGAUAGCCAAGAAACUUCAGAAAAACAAGAGAGAUUUUGAAAAUGCUUAGAGAAUGUUACUUGGAACUAACUCUUUACCUGGUUGGAACAGGGACCUCAGUCAACCCUGUAAGGAGGACAGCAGGAGCCAGUCUCACAAAUGCAAUUAUUGGCCUUUCCAAAAAGUCUACUUCGCUCAAAGCUCCAACUAUACAGAAAUCUAUGAAAAAUACAAAAAUUAGCCAGGCAUGGUGGUACGCACCUGUAAUCCCAGCUACUCAGGAGGCUGAGGUAUAAUGUAACAUUCACAGGUUCGAGGGUUUAGGAGAUGAAUAUCUUGCAGGCUAUCACUCAGCCUACCACUCCCAUGAUAUAUUAUCCUUUUUAAACAUUGCUGGAUACAAUGUAAUUCAGGCUGUUCUUGAACUCCUGACCAGGUGACAAGGCAGGUGAUCUGCCUGCCUCAGCCUCCCAAAGUUCUGGGAUUACAAGCAUGAGCCACCACUCCUGGCAUUGAUUGUAGUUUUGAAGAAUGGACUAAAAUGUUCCUAAUAUUUCACCCUUAAUGAAUUAUCAGUUAUCUUUUAUAUUAAAUAUUAUAUUGAAUAGAUCUUGUAUAUCUUUAGAGAAACAUGAUCUUUGUUGAAACACAGACUAACCUAUUAAUCCUUCCUUUGGGAGGUCGAGGAGGGCGGAUCACGAGGUCAGGAGAUCCAGACCAUCCUAGUUAACACGGUGAAACCCCGUCUCUACUAAAAAUACAAAAAAUAAAUUAGCCAGGCGUGGUGGCGGGCGCCUAUAGUCCAGGAUAUUACAAAGGAUACAAAUGGAGUUCGAGACCAGCCUGACCAACAUGGAGAGACCCUGUCUCUAUUAAAAAUACAAUUAGCCGGGCGUGGUGGCACAUGCCUGUAAUCCCAGCUACUCAGGAGGCCGAGGCAGGAGAAUCACUUGAACCCGGGAAGCAGAGGUUGCAGUGAGCCUAGAUCAUGCCAUUGCACUCCAGCUUGGGCAACAAGAGCAAAACUCUGUCUCAAAAAAAAAAUACUAAAAUAACAAUAAUAAUAAUUAAAGCCAUUGCUGAGGUGCUAAGAUGAUGAUACAGUCGAUAGUCUUAGAAAAGCUGACCAUUUUGUCCAAUCACUGCAAAAUAAGUUAACUCUUUUAGAAAUAAACAUUCAACUAACCUUUGAGAAGUAGCUGUAACAAAAUAACUGAGAAUGUCUGAGGAUUAUCCUAAAAAAUAAAUACUUGUCUUCUUUCAAGCCCCCUUUAACCAUGUAUUGGCAUACAUAUAAAACAUAAGAAUUACAGUUUAGUGUAAUUAAACAUUCCAUGUAUCUUAUCUUUCUUCUUAUCAAAUCUAGUAAUUGGCUCAAUUGC